rnacentral:rRNA from 1 species
AUGGAGCGGGAAAAGGGAGAAGCUCGCGUGCGGCUCGCGCGGCGCGGUAGCUUCACGCCGUCGCCGGCGGCCGGCGGAGCCCCGACCCAGCUGCAGCACAGAGAGAGACAGAGGCGGGCGCGUAAGGGAGCAGAGGAGGGCGCAAGCGCGACCCCCUCUCUCUCUCUACCACAGGAAAGGAAGGGAGGCGCGACACGGUGGCUUUUCGCUGCCGUCGCCGGCGACCGGCGCCUGGCGCCGUCGCGGUGGCCGGGCGACAGAGAGAACGGGAGCGAGAGGCUGAGAAGCAAGCGGCGCACGCGGGGGAAAAUGGGGACUAGGUUUCGGGAUCGGGGGACUCUCCCGUUUUUGUCCAACCGAAAACCCCGCUCGGCCGUCCGAUCUAAAAGAACGGCCAGGAUCAAAGACCUAGCGACGCCCCAGGCCAAUUGGCCCGAAAGCGUGAACGCACCAGGCCGCUGCCGCAGCGGGCCGUGGGCCGAUUAG